rnacentral:tRNA from 1 species
GCCGUGGUGGUGAAAUUGGUAGACACGCCAUCUUGAGGGGGUGGUGCUCGCAAGGGCUUGGGAGUUCGAGUCUCCUCCACGGCACAA